rnacentral:rRNA from 1 species
UACGGAGGGGACUAGCGUUGUUCGGAAUUACUGGGCGUAAAGCGCACGUAGGCGGAUUUGUAAGUCAGGGGUGAAAUCCCGGGGCUCAACCCCGGAACUGCCUUUUGAUACUGCGAAUCUCGAGUCCGGAAGAGGUGAGUGGAAUUCCUAGUGUAGAGGUGAAAUUCGUAGAUAUUAGGAAGAACACCAGUGGCGAAGGCGGCUCACUGGUCCGGUACUGACGCUGAGGUGCGAAAGCGUGGGGAGCAAACAGG